GCAGGAGCAGGAGCAGCAUUGGCGGCGGCGGCGGGGACCGCAAAGCCAGGUCUGUCUACUCACCAGAGCUUCCUCUUUAAGGGCAGGAGGCUGCCCCGGUUGGAGGCGGUCACCCCGAUGGCCAUCUGCAAGACAGUCAGAGUAGCUAUAAUGAGAGCAAGCGGAGGAGCACAAGAGAAAGUAUCUUCUAAUUAUAGACCAUUUGUGUGGAAGGAUUCGAAGGCACUGCCGAUAACACACUUGGAACAUUUCAGACAGCAGGACCUAUGACCUUACCUUGGUAGCCAAGAAGAACGGAAAUGAACGAGUGGGGACAGACCUCCUCCAGCACCGAGCAGAACGCAGACAGGGCACCGGGCCCUUUGCAAACGAGUUUCUCUAAAAAAUAGGCAGCUUGCUUCUCGCAGCACUCCCGGGACAAAAUGUCUUUGUACUCCUCCAAGGAAAAUACUCUCUCAUAAACCAGAUAUGACAGCACUUUCUGCACAUCCAGCUCUCUCACGAUUCUCUCCCUGUGGUUGCUUAGGAUAUCAGCAAGCCACUGGUUCCUAUCUGUGCUUUCUUUUUUGGUUGGUUUUGCACAGUUAUAAAACCAAGACCGGACCGGCCAUCUAAACAUGUUUGCAUUUAAAGCUAAAAAUAAAUAAAAAGAAGAUAUUCCAGCUCUCUGUCAGACGCUUGCAACCUUCAGAAGUCUAUAGGAAUUCAAUGAGAAGGCAAGGGUAUAUCACCUGCCUAUAGAUAGGGCAAAUUGACUGGAAAAGAGGCCUAGGUUCGAAUUAUAAAAGCACAAAAAGCAAAAGAAACUGCCACGCACAGUGCUUCCAGCUCCCUAAGAGGAUUACUUCACACUAAUUAGCCUUUUACAAGCAUUAAUAGGCAUCUGUACAACCACAAAAAGGCAGAUAGGAGAAUAGCUGGGCUACUGUUCACUUUUUAAUUCUAUAAACUGCUUCUCAAAAACAAAACAAGUCUAUUGUAGAAAGUUACAGUGAAGAAGACGGGAUAUCAAAGCAGUUAUCCAUUCCAGGCAAAUAUUAAAACAAGAAACAAGGACACAAUUUUAGGUGGAUAGAUUUGUUUUGUUGGGAUGGCCUCCCAAAUAAUACUAUGAUGGGAUAGAGAUGGUUCCUUUUAAGCAGAAUUGCAUAGGUGAUAUAUUUGUUCUCGUGUUCAUAAGCAGAAGGCAUAGGACAUGUUAUUCAUUGGUGUGUGCUGUUGGGGAGAGGCAUAUGUGAGGAGUGGGAAAAUAGUCUAAUUCUUUCUGGAAAUUUGUAUUUAUAAUGUUUAACACUGAUUUAUCUUUUGUGAUUCUGGAAGUAUUGGAUGAUUUUUAAAAACUCUCAUAAAUAGCAUCUACUUAAUGAAUUAGGAUUAAGGGGAGAGAUUCUGACAGCUUCGAUGUAGGUGUACUGCCAGUAGUAAUUAUUCACUGAGGAUCAAACUUGCAUAACAACCCUGCUUCACAUAUACCAGUAUUUACUCGA